AUGCUCACUUCACAGCACAUAUACUAAAAUAGGGACGAUACAGAGAAGAUUAGCAUGGCCCCUGGGCAAGGAUGACAUGCAGUUUCGUGAAGCGUUCCAUAUUUUU
rnacentral:snRNA from 1 species